rnacentral:rRNA from 1 species
CCUACGGGAGGCAGCAGUGAGGAAUAUUGGUCAAUGGGCGCGAGCCUGAACCAGCCAAGUCGCGUGAGGGACGACUGCCCUACGGGUUGUAAACUUCUUUUAUAAAGGAAUAAAGUGAGGCACGUGUGCCUUGAUGCCUGUACUUUAUGAAUAAGGAUCGGCUAACUCCGUGCCAGCAGCCGCGGUAAUACGGAGGAUCCGAGCGUUAUCCGGAUUUAUUGGGUUUAAAGGGUGCGUAGAUGGGUUGUUAAGUCAGUUGUUAAACCUUGGGGCUUAACCGUUAAAUUGCAAUUGAUACUGGAAGCCUCGAGUACAGUCGAGGUAGGCGGAAUUCGUAGUGUAGCGGUGAAAUGCUUAGAUAUCACGAAGAACUCCGAUAGCGAAGGCAGCCUACUAGACUGCCACUGACGUUGAGGCUCGAAAGUGUGGGUAUCAAACAGGAUUAGAUACCCGAGUAGUC